rnacentral:rRNA from 1 species
UGCGGAAGGAUCAUUGUUGAGAUCUGAGGAUAAAUGACUAGAGAACCAAGAUUUUCAUAUUGUGUUGAUCCAAUAAAAGAUGCAACUCGUGAGAUUAAUCUCUUGAUUGUCUUCUUUGUUGGGUGGAACAUAGCCAUGCCACCGCUCUAUGGUUGCGGGGGAAGGCAAAUGAUUUUGGGCACGGCAUGUGUCAAGGGUAAAAAGUAUGCUCAUUGCGGCGCAGCCCCGGUUGCGGUUUGCAAUGUGCUUGAACAAUUCAAUGCAUGUGUGUCAUGCCCUGGUAUGACAUUUCCAUGUAUUAAGAGAUAUGACUCUCGGCAACGGAUAUCUAGGCUCUUGCAUCGAUGAAGAACGUAGCGAAAUGCGAUACUUGGUGUGAAUUGCAGAAUCCCGUGAACCAUCGAGUCUUUGAACGCAAGUUGCGCCCAAGACCUUUUGGUUAAGGGCACGCCUGCCUGGGUGUCACACCAUAUGUUGCUCCUUCUAAUCCAUGUUAUGGGUUAGAUGGAAGCGAAAGUUGGUUCUCCGUGCUUUUGUAGUUGUGGUGAACUGAAGUAUGAGAUGCCGAUGGAGAAAUCAUGAAACGACUAGUGGUGGGCAGAAGAGUGUCUUCGUGUGGCCGAUGUCGUUUGCUCCAUUGUGCAUUCUCUUUCACCAAGGGACCCUUGAAUGUUGGAUUGUGCUGCAAUCACUUGUGGUUGCUAGCAAUGAUCUUCCUUGUGUUGCAACCCCAGGUCAGACGGGACCACCCGCUGAGUUUAAGCAUACAA